UACGUAGGGUGCGAGCGUUAAUCGGAAUUACUGGGCGUAAAGCGUGCGCAGGCGGUUUUGCAAGCCGGAUGUGAAAUCCCCGGGCUUAACCUGGGAAUGGCAUUUGGGACUGCAAGGCUGGAGUGCGGCAGAGGAGACUGGAAUUCCUGGUGUAGCAGUGAAAUGCGUAGAUAUCAGGAGGAACACCGAUGGCGAAGGCAGGUCUCUGGGCUGACACUGACGCUCAUGCACGAAAGCCAGGGGAGCAAACGGG
rnacentral:rRNA from 1 species